rnacentral:ncRNA from 2 species
ACAAUGACAGUGGGGUGCCCCUAAAAAGGCUGAGAUGAUACCCAUUGAACUUGCCUCACGGUAAUGCGUGCGAAAGGAUUUGUCAUUGCUUCUUGC